rnacentral:rRNA from 1 species
AUACGUAGGGUGCAAGCGUUAAUCGGAAUUACUGGGCGUAAAGCGUGCGCAGGCGGUUUUGGAAGACAGUGGUGAAAUCCCCCGGCUCAACCUGGGAACUGCCAUUGGGACUGCAAGGCUGGAGGGCGGCAGAGGGGGAUGGAAUUCCGCGUGUAGCAGUGAAAUGCGUAGAUAUGCGGAGGAACACCGAUGGCGAAGGCAAUCCCCUGGGCCUGCACUGACGCUCAUGCACGAAAGCGUGGGGAGCAAACAGGAUUAGAUACCCUGGUAGUCCACGCCCUAAACGAUGUCAACUGGUUGUUGGGGAUUUAUUUUCUCAGUAACGAAGCUAACGCGUGAAGUUGACCGCCUGGGGAGUACGGCCGCAAGGUUAAAACUCAAAGGAAUUGACGGGG